rnacentral:misc_RNA from 1 species
UGGCUCUCGCAUCGAUGAAGAACGCAGCGAAAUGCGAUACGUAAUGUGAAUUGCAGAAUUCAGUGAAUCAUCGAAUCUUUGAACGCACCUUGCGCCCCUUGGCAUUCCGAGGGGCACACCCGUUUGAGUGUCGUGAAAUCAUCAAAACCUUCUCUUUGACCCUCUUUGGUUGGGAAAAGGAUUUUUGGACUUGGAGGUUCCAUGCUCGCCUUCACUUUUGAAAGCGAGCUCCUCUCAAAUGAAUUAGUGGGGUCCGCUUUGCUGGUCCUUGACGUGAUAAGAUGUUUCUACGUUUUGGAUUUAGCACUGUCCCUUGGAUGCCUGCUCCUAACUGUCUCACGGACAAUGAUGGUGCUCUGGUCACUGCCAUCUACAUUGGCGGGAGGCUGGACCCACAAAAGAAAACCUUGACCUCAAAUCGGGUGAGACUACCCGCUGA